rnacentral:rRNA from 1 species
GAGUUUGAUCAUGGCUCAGAUUGAACGCUGGCGGCAUGCCUUACACAUGCAAGUCGAACGGCAGCACGGGAGCUUGCUCCUGGUGGCGAGUGGCGAACGGGUGAGUAAUGCAUCGGAACGUAUCCUGGAGUGGGGGAUAACGUAGCGAAAGUUACGCUAAUACCGCAUAUUCUGUGAGCAGGAAAGCGGGGGACCUUCGGGCCUCGCGCUCUUGGAGCGGCCGAUGUCGGAUUAGCUAGUUGGUGAGGUAAAGGCUC